GGUCCCAUAGUGUAGCGGUUAGCAUGUCCGCUUUACAUGCAGAAGGUCCUGGGUUUGCACCCCAGUGGAACCA
rnacentral:tRNA from 1 species